GGUGUUGGUUAAAAUGCAGAUCACCAGAUGCCACCAAAGACCUUCUGAAUUAGAUUCUCUAUUGGGAGGGAGAUCCAGAAAUCUGCAUUUUU
rnacentral:miRNA from 1 species